rnacentral:lncRNA from 1 species
CUAAGUUGACCAAGAAAACAAAAAUUGACUUACUUUCGAUCAGAUUGAAAGGGUAAAAUGGUAUAUUUGCAUUUUCCAAAUAUUGAUAGCCUGUACUUUCAGCCCAACUCCAUCUUCAUCUUAUUCUCCUUCGCUGCCCAAUUAAAACCAAACACACACCCAAAGCACCAGCAAAGCACUAUUGCAGCCACGUUGUGAGCUCUCGUCGCCAUUUCCACGGUGACAAAGAUUCCUAGCCAAUGUUCCCAAGGAAAAAUGAAGGCAAUAUGUUGGGAUUUUUAUCCCAGAGUGUGGUUUUAGUCAUCAAAUAAUCAACCACAACAAUAAGAAAACGAUGUAGAAAAUUAAAGAACACAGUAAUUGUUCACCCAAUUCGGCCAAAUCUAAUCUGGAGGGCUCAAAGGCAAAAAUCCAAACCCGCCACUAUGCAAAAAACCACCCAAGAAAGAACAAAAGCUUGAUUACAAAAUUCAUAUCACAACCAAGAAAUCUACAGAUCAUCGGCCUUUCAAAAGACCUCACAAAACAGCCCUAACCGACCUUGACCUAGACUCAAAUGUAGCAUCUAUUUAUAGUAUAAAAUCUGGUAAAAAAAGGACCAAACCCCCUGCCGGAAAUACACAAACUACCGACAGCAACUGUAAAAUUACACUAGAUUAUUGGCCCUAGAAUACAGUCCUCACAACAGAAAUUAUGCCGAAAAAAUAAGCCAAAGUAGAUCUAAAGAUUUCACUUGAUAAAACUCAAAAAUCACUGAAGAAGAGAGAAAAAGAGAAAAGUCUGCCAAACUAAAGAAAAAUAAAAGAAGUGUAAGUCUCUCUCUCCAACCAGCUUCUUCAAUAAUGAGAGAAAAGUAGAUUUAAAUCUCAG